UGGAUGACAUUUCGGCAUUUGUCGCAGCUGAUCGUCGGGGUCUGGUUGACGUCGAGGAAAACUUCGCUCUAAAAGGAAAGACAAACAUGCCGGUAACUUCGACAAAUCAUGGUGGAACACAUAUGUUAAUUAAUGAAGGAAAAACGAAUAUUGAGAAGUGAAUACAGGCUGCCGAUAUAGCGCAGGCAAUGGCAUACGCAUCCUCCACGAAGCAGCCGCUGCAAAUGAUGCAGCUCAUCUACGCUCCGUUUAGAUCCGAAAAUCCCCCUACUUGGUCCAGGCAACAGGGAAAGUCAGCUGGCCGCUGUUUGCGAAAAAGUACCAAACGCCCUCCCAGUGAUCAGAGCCCAUUCAACGAUCUGAAGCGAAUCAGCUAUGAAACUCAUUAACAAGCCACCUAGUCGAUCGGGCGAAAGCGCGUCAUUACAAUUUUGGCGCCAUAUUUAAGCAGGAUCCGGAUAAUAUCCUCCCUGGGAACAUGCCCACGAAAACUGUCCGUCGAAAGGAAGUA